rnacentral:rRNA from 1 species
GAUGAACGCUGGCGGCGUGCCUAAUACAUGCAAGUCGAGCGAACAGACGAGGAGCUUGCUCCUCUUACGUUAUCGGCGGACGGGUGAGUAACACGUGGAUAACCUACCUAUAAGACUGGGAUAACUUCGGGAAACCGGAGCUAAUACCGGAUAAUAUAUUGAACCGCAUGGUUCAAUAGUGAAAGACGGUUUUGCUGUCACUUAUAGAUGGAUCCGCGCCGCAUUAGCUAGUUGGUAAGGUAACGGCUUACCAAGGCAACGAUGCGUAGCCGACCUGAGAGGGUGAUCGGCCACACUGGAACUGAGACACGGUCCAGACUCCUACGGGAGGCAGCAGUAGGGAAUCUUCCGCAAUGGGCGAAAGCUUGACGGGGCAACGCCGCGUGAGUGAUGAAGGUCUUCGGAUCGUAAAACUCUGUUAUUAGGGAAGAACAAAUGUGUAAGUAACUAUGCACGUAUUGACGGUACCUAAUCAGAAAGCCACGGCUAACUACGUG